rnacentral:rRNA from 1 species
UACCCGCCCCCCGAGUGUUGGGGACUAUUACUGGGCUUAAAGCGCCCGUAGCCGGCCGGGUGUGUCCUCCGUUAAAUCCACGGGCCUAACCCGUGGGCUGCGGAGGAUACUACCCGGCUUGGGGGUGGGAGAGGGCGGCGGUAUUCCCGGGGUAGGGGUAAAAUCCACUGAUCCCGGGAGGACCACCAGUGGCGAAGGCGGCCGCCCAGAACACGCCCGACGGUGAGGGGCGAAAGCUGGGGGAGCAAACGGG